rnacentral:rRNA from 1 species
GACGAACGCUGGCGGCGCGCUUAACACAUGCAAGUCGAGCGAUGAAAUUUCGACAGAUCCCUUCGGGGUGAAGAUGAAAUGGAUUAGCGGCGGACGGGUGAGUAACACGUGAGUAACCUGCCUUUGACAUUGGGAUAGCCUCGGGAAACUGGGAUUAAUACCAAAUGACACUAACUGAUCACAUGAUCAAUUAGUCAAAGAAAUUCGGUCAAAGAUGGACUCGCGGCUGAUUAGCUAGUUGGUGAGGUAACGGCCCACCAAGGCGACGAUCAGUAGCCGGCCAGAGAGGGUGAUCGGCCACAGUGGAACUGAGACACGGUCCAAACUCCUACGGGAGGCAGCAGUGGGGAAUAUUGCACAAUGGGGGAAACCCUGAUGCAGCGACGCCGCGUGAGCGAAGAAGGCCGUCGGGUCGUAAAGCUCGUUUAUGAGGGAAGAUAAUGACGGUACCUCAAGAAAAAGCCCCGGCUAACUACGUG